CAGGUCAUAGUGAUCCGGUGGUUCUGAAUGGAAGGGCCAUCGCUCAACGGAUAAAAGGUACUCCGGGGAUAACAGGCUGAUACCGCCCAAGAGUUCAUAUCGACGGCGGUGUUUGGCACCUCGAUGUCGGCUCAUCACAUCCUGGGGCUGAAGUAGGUCCCAAGGGUAUGGCUGUUCGCCAUUUAAAGUGGUACGCGAGCUGGGUUUAGAACGUCGUGAGACAGUUCGGUCCCUAUCUGCCGUGGGCGCUGGAGAACUGAGGGGGGCUGCUCCUAGUACGAGAGGACCGGAGUGGACGCAUCACUGGUGUUCGGGUUGUCAUGCCAAUGGCACUGCCCGGUAGCUAAAUGCGGAAGAGAUAAGUGCUGAAAGCAUCUAAGCACGAAACUUGCCCCGAGAUGAGUUCUCCCUGAGACUUAGAGUCUCCUGAAGGAACGUUGAAGACGACGACGUUGAUAGGCCGGGUGUGUAAGCGCAGCGAUGCGUUGAGCUAACCGGUACUAAUGAACCGUGAGGCUUAACCUU
rnacentral:rRNA from 1 species